rnacentral:rRNA from 1 species
AACGAACGCUGGCGGCGUGCUUAACACAUGCAAGUCGAGCGCGAACGGUUCCCUUCGGGGGGCCUAGUAGAGCGGCAGACGGGUGAGUAACACGUGGGUAACCUACCCCGAGGCGGGGGAUAACCACUGGAAACGGUGGCUAAUACCGCAUGAGACCCCAUCUCUUCGGAGACGAGGUUAAAGGCUUCGGCCACCUUGGGAGGGGCCCGCGGCCGAUUAGCUAGUUGGUGAGGUAACGGCUCACCGAGGCGACGAUCGGUAGCUGGUCUGAGAGGAUGAUCAGCCACACUGGUACUGAGACACGGACCAGACUCCUACGGGAGGCAGCAGUGGGGAAUAUUGCGCAAUGGGGGAAACCCUGACGCAGCAACGCCGCGUGGGUGAUGAAGGCCUUCGGGUCGUAAAGCCCUGUCAGAUGGGAAGAAACCGGACUUGUUCCGUUGACGGUACCAUCAAAGGAAGCACCGGCUAACUCCGUGCCAGCAGCCGCGGUAAUACGGAGGGUGCAAGCGUUGUUCGGAAUUACUGGGCGUAAAGGGCGCGUAGGCGGACUGGACAGUCUGGUGUGAAAGCCCGGGGCUCAACCCCGGAAGUGCACUGGAAACUAGCAGUCUUGAGUUC